CAAGAGGGAAACACGCCGGGCUGCUCCAAGGAUAUCACGCACAUACUGAUUCAUGCAGAUGGGAGAACCGACACACCGUAUUCAGAUCUGCAGUGACAGCUCUGCUUAAUCAAGUUAAAAGGCAUCACACAGGAAGGCUUUCAUUUAUCAAAUCAUCAGUGUGAAGACGCCCUGUGGCCAAAUCAAAGUGCCACCAGUUCGAAGAGCACGUCACCAGAUGAACUGUUUCUUCUGAAAUGAGUGCGAUUUGCUGGAGAGAAAGAAGCUCACUGACUCAUCUCUGUGUCUGACUUCUCUCUGUGAACUCUUCUUUUUUUCCCCCUUUCCAAAAGCAACUGCAGUAAAUAUUUACAUGCCGUGUCUGGCAGCUGUAUGAGAUGGAGAACACCAAUUAUGAUUCUGGCUUUUUGCUUCGUGGUUAAGCCUUUCGAGCCUUGCAGGCAGGGUUGCAUGUGAAUCUGUUGUGUAUCUGUGCGGUGCAUGCAGCUUGACAAGUAGCUUCACUUUUGGUUUUACGUCAUUUUUUGGCGAACCACCCUUUUUGCCACUUAUCUAUUUUUUUUCACUGCCUUUUAUAGAAGAAAAUACUGAUUCACAUUCUUGGGAAACAAGCAUAGGGGUUUACAGUGACGCUGAUGGUGUUUUACACUCAUUAGCAGAAAUUCGAUACUCGAGAGCUCCUCUUCAGAAACAUGACAUAGAAUAACUAUUCAAAUGUAUUUAACACUGCAAAUUCAUUUUGCAUUUUACCUGCAUAAUUUAUGAUGAUGAUAGUAUUUAUAUUUUUAUGCCAAAACCUGAACAAAAAAAAUACACCGUGCACUUUGAAGGCAGAAAAAACACGGGAACCAAGACAAGGCAUGGAAAUGAUUGAUGUUGAUACGUCUUAGGUCCUGUCUGCACCUGCCAAGUGUGUUGGUGAGUAAGUCACUAUUUACCCUGAGACCUGCGUUCUUGUAUAGAGUCACUGUGCAUAUCUGUGUAAUCUGUCCCCUCCACUGUUUGGAAACACCAUGGGCUGUGCCAUGUGUAUGCAUCUGGUUGACAUGUGGACUGUGAGGGUGAGCAGGACUGGCCGCAGGGCUAUGGAGCUCACCGCCUAUCCGCAGAUGCUCCAGGGAGACUACCAUAGAGUGACGGGCCUCCACUACAUGUCGUCCUUCUCUGAUGCCGAGGACUGCUGCGACGACACCAGCUCAGGCAGCUCAAUCACGCUGGACUGGCAGACACAAGGAACAGGCGGCUGACCCUCAUCCAAGAAGUGUUAUAAUCCAAACAUUGAACAUAAAAGGAGGAAACGUGACACGCUUCAGCAGAGAUCCACCCAGUCGUUAUCCACACCUGAGGGAAAUCAAGCCGGUGCACCAAUCAAAUCCUCCCAUUCUCCCUGCAAAGCUCUCAGACCACAAGGACAAACUGU
ensembl:lncRNA